rnacentral:lncRNA from 1 species
UUAGGUAAAGAUAGAGUUGGAUCCAAUAACUAUUAGGUAAGAGAUCCAAUGACGGCUUUAUAUCUACUGGUGAGCGAUGGAUCUAACUUAACUAAGAAAUAAGGUCAAUAACUAUUAGAUAAGGCUUUAGAACUGAGAGACUGAGAUUGACUGCAACAUAUUUAGAGAAAUAUUGGACAAAAAUUAUUCGUUCAUCAACUGACAUAUCACAAAUAAUGAUUAGGUGAGGUGGUGUGCCAAUCGGUGGAACCGCAGUAUCCACUAGAAACCUUAAAGCAUGGAGGUUUUCGUUUCUCCACCUG